AUGCAACGAUUGGGUUCGGCAUUUUUAGAAGAAUUUUUUAUGGAAGAAGAGCAAGUUUUUUCUUUGAUGUUCACCAAAACAACUCUUUUUUCUUUCCGUGGAUCACACACUGAGUAA
rnacentral:rRNA from 1 species